rnacentral:tRNA from 1 species
CCAUAGUCUAAAGGUUAGGACACUGGCCUUUCAAGCCGGAGAUACCGGGUUCAAGUCCCGUUGGG